UCUGGGAACUUCCAUAUGCCGUGGGAGCAGCUCAAGAAAAGGCAAAAAGACAGAAAAAAAAAAAAUCAAAGUUUCUAAGAGCUUGUUUCUAAGUGUGAAUGCCACUGAACUUACACUUGAGUUUAAAUUCUAAUUCCACAAAAGAAAUGGGGGAAAAGUUAUAUCACUGUUUAAGUCUGAAUCCUAACUCGACAAAAGAAAUUGGAAAAGUCUUAUUACUGUCUUGACUCUGUCACUUUAUCCAUAAAAUGCGAAAGUUAUCCCUAAAUCAUGAAAUUUAUUCACUUAUUUGCUCAAUCAUUCACCUAAUAAAUAUGGAGCGUCUAAGUCAUUUUCCAUUCACAGUUAUUCUGAGAAGGGGAUGAUGAUAAUAAAACCUCUGUAAAAUGUAAAGUUCUAGGCAACUUAUUUUACUUCCAGUGGUUAUUUCAUUUCACAGCUCACUAGAACACGUAAAAUUAUCAAAAACUGCAGCAAGGAAGUACAAGGAAAAACUUCUUGGCACUGAGCUGGUGAAAAAAAAGAAAUGAGGAAUUCCUUUUUCCAAAGGCCUUAGGUAAAAUAUGGUCCCCACUCACUGUGGACUCUUCCUCCAAAGGUAAGCCUGCAGGCAGAGCUCUCUUCUGGCAGUCUCAGGAUUUCUGAGAAUGAUCUUGCUCAGAGCCCAUUCACAAAAUCUAACUGCAUUUUCCAAAGUGUCUAGUACUGCCUCUGUCAUAGUUCAUCCUCUUUCAAAUCUUAUAACAUUUCCUGGCCUCAGUUUCCUUACCUGUAAAAUGAACAGUUCUGAACUGCUAACUGUUGAUGACACAGUAAGCAGGUCACUUGCGUACUAGAGUCUUAUCUGCCAGAUUUCUAGGACAAGGAGUCAGUACUUAGGCUUGGGCUUGGUACUGAGUUGGGCACAGUCCCUACGACUCCAGUGUAGAUUAGAGGUUACAACUCCAAUCAGAUCCAAUAGCUUCUUUUUAUAUCAACUGUUUAAUGGUGAUCCUUUCACUAAUUUGAUUAUGAAAGAUAAGCAACUGAGUAUGUGAAUGCUCUAGACUGACUACACUGGUGAAAGAAGUGUCAGAUGCUCACAACUGGCCUCGAAUUUCUGUGACCCAAGACACUGAAAACUGAGGGUUGCAUUAUAUCAAUGGUUCCAAUUCAGAUUGGGUAUUGCUGGCUAUGGUAUGUUUCUCUGAAGUGGUUGAAGUCUCUACAUAAAAUUCCCAAAACAAACCAAAAUCAUAUCUUCGAGUUGCCUGGUAGUUGCACUCCUAGAAAACUCAUUAUAUAUGGGCCUGGCAUAUUAAAUGGUCAAUAAAUAAUCAAGGAGAAAAUUUAAAAUAACUGAAAGAUGAAACAUACUUUUAUAUGUGAUUGUAAAGCCCAGGUUAUAAAGAUUAUAAGUUUGUUUUUCAGAGGAAGACAGAGAGAGAGAGAAAGAGUGUGUGUGCGUGCGUGCAUGCGUGUGUGUAGGCUGGCAUUCCCCGCCCUUAGCUUUCAAAUACCCAUAGUGACCCCCAUCACUGGAGCAACCAAAACCAGCCCUAUUAAUUCCCAAAACUUCUCCUAGAGGGGCGUACUGCCUCCACUGAGAACCACUUUUCUAGACAGUGAAAAUUGCUUAUCUAGUGAUAGGAAAAAGAAAAAAAGAAAACAAACAAAGAACCCAAAAAGACCACAAAAUCCCCCCCCCCCCCCUCAAAAAACAACCACCUAAAAACCAACCAAAAAAACCCAACAACAACAUCAACUAAACUCAGUCCCGCCCUUCCUCUUUCUAAGGAAACACGAGACUUCAGAGAAAGACUAGGGAUGGGAAAGUCCCCUUUUCUAACCUGGAACAGCGCUUUCUGCCCAGAGACUGAUGACGAAGUACCUUGGGCUCAGAUUUUUGAUUGCACAGUUGAGAAACUAGAAUAGAGGGUUAAAAACAGAAAACCCCAGAGUUUACCACCAUCCAGGGGGUGGGAAUAAGGACUGCGAUUCCAGGCUUCAUGACCUUGGCUCUAUUCUUCACUGAGCCCUGCCGCCAGCCUGGGCGUGUUCACCUUAAAAAUUCAAAUUGUGUUUUCUCAUAAGUGGUUCUCAGAAGACUCACCCUACCCCACUAUGGGAACACAGCAGUUGUGGAGGAAGAGAUAGGAAUGGGAUCAGAAUCAGAAUUCAAAUAUCCUGGAAAAUCUGGGCUCUAAAUUCUUAUAUGUCAGAGGGUGACUGGCCAGCAGCUGUGAGACACUGAGGACUUUAGCAUUCACUGUAAACUUUAGCACACGUCACUUAUUUCUCUGAAGACUGGAUCCAAAAAGCACAAUGAACACAAAAAUGUCCUAUGGUACCAGGGUCAAGUCCAGAUAGACAUGAGAAUUCCGUACAGCUGGGAUAGGGAGCACAAUUCCUGAGGUGAUCUUGGAAGCAGAACUGUUAGAACUUGGAGAAAGUGAUGAAAUAGUUAACCUCACUUGUGAAUCUCUGGAGCCUGCAGUGAUCGACCUAACUCACCAUGAGUCCGUUGUGAUUACUGAAGAAAGGAGGAGGUCAAGGGGAAACAAGGCCAAGCUGGCAGCUGUGUGGGCAGUGAUAAGGAGGGCUUGAUGAGGGACAGAGAUGUAUAUGUGACCAACAGUGCCUACCAUAAUGCCCUGGAAGAAAAAACUUUAAAUGGCUCGGUAUCUGGUUAUAUAUGGUAUUGAAUUUGUAAGUAUGGGUACUCAGAGACUGAACUGAGUAAAUGACAGAAUGUGGCCAUAUCUUCUGUAGGCAGUGCCUGUGUACUUCCCUUAAACAUAAUACAAAUUGCCCAGUUCGUUUGAAAAAAAAUCAGCUGCCAUCAGUACCACAGCAUUUAUAUAUGAUGUGUACUAUGUUGCUUAGGACAGACAGACACCCUAGCUGGAUUUUUCCAUGUCCUUAUGCAGAAGCUAUGGGUUGUUGGCAUUCAGUGCACUGAGCUCAAAAAGCCUGAUUUGAAAAAUUGCUCUCUGGAGUAUAUUAAAAAGUCUUUCAUUUCCUACA